ensembl:lncRNA
CUUGGUUGCACCAUCCCUGGUUCACCGGGACUGCCUGAGGUGAGGCUAUGGAGGCUGUGACCGCCUCCUCUGCUUCUCUGCAGCCGCAGCCUCAGGCACCAAGACGUGGGGACACCCAGCUGGAAAGCGGCUCUGCAGAAAUAGCCCUGGGGGCCCUGGUGGACACCAAGUUGAACAUGAGCCAGCAGCAUGACCUGACCGCUGUUGCUUCUCAGGGUUUGGAUCCAGCUGGAGACGGGAUGCUGUGAGCUCAACCACUGCCAGUGACUGAUGCUUCUUUCUGGAAGGAUGCAAGGGACUGUUUUUUCUGAAUAUUUUAAACAAAAUGUCCUUGAAGUGUUGGUAAGUAUAACAGUGUGCUGGGAGGGACUUACGGCAGAGAUGUUUGGGAUGUGUACCCUGACCCCAGGAAAGAGAGAAAGAAAGUGAGCAGAACUGCAAAUGAGUGAAAAUGUAGAGUUUGUCCAUUAACUGUAACACAGGGUUUAACACCCCAAUAACAACAGAAUCGUUCACCGUUGCACCAUAAUUUGUGUUAUACAUCAGUGCCCCCCACAAGGCUGUUUCUCUUAGAAGUGGGAACAUUUCUUUCCUGCUAGACUUUGAACGUGGUUUUCAGAUUAUCUGAAUUAUUUUCAAACUGAGUCAAGAUAUUGGAAUGUUUCUUUUGGAAUUGUUUAAAAUGGGCUUUUUCUUCUUUUCUGUGAGAUUCACUUCUAUUUCUGUAUGGAGUUCACAGAGUGUCUCGUUUUAAAAUCUGCAGCUGAUGAGUUUCAAUGGCAGCUUUGCACACAAAAGGCUUUGUCCAAACAGAUCCUUGAUGCUGCUGCUGCAUAUGAAACGCAUGAAAUGAUACAUAAGAAACUGCUAGAUUGGACAAAACGUUUUCUGGUGAAGGGAGAAGAGUACCCAAGGACCCUGCAAAACUUUGAAGAAGUUUGCAGAUAUCUCUCCUACGAUGAGGGAUGAUGAGAAAAGAGGUGAAUAAUGGGAACAUGCAUUGAGCUGUUUACCUCUGUCGUGUCUUGAUUAAUACACCUGAAAUGCAGAAGCUGUGAUUGAACAUGGGGUCUGGUGCUGAGGGCACUUAAGAAAUGUACUUUGAUAGGAGGAAAAUAGAUAGAUCAAGCUGGUUGCCCAAGGAGGUUGUGGAUGCCCCAUCCCUGGAGGCGUUCGAG